CCUCCACCCUUUCAUCCGUCUCCUUCUCCUCUCCGAUCCUGAAGAAAGGUAUUGCUGAGAAGCAAAGCACAAGUUGGAAGAUUCAAAAUGAGCUGCAGACAAGUUGUGGCAUUGGAUGGUCUACUCUGGGAAUGCCAAUAUCUGAAACUGUUGCUGUGAAGCCAAUGGAAAUGAGUCAUGUGACUGAUACUUUGACAAAGAACUCGCGUUUCUGACCUCAUGCUGUGGUGGGAUCCUGGAGUCUCAUGUCUAGUUUUGCUGUAAACUUUGGACCCAGUAGAUGCAGAAACCUUUGAUUUGGUGUUGCAAGAAGACUGACUGAAGCGCGGUGGAUACUGGCAUAAAGGAUUGGUACUAAUGUAGAGCUGUCCCAGUCAGGUGGCCAGUAAUUUACAACUGCCAGUGUAGCUAAGAAUGAGGUGAAUGCAGGAGAUGAAGAGGAAGGCCCAAGAAAACAUGACAGAGAACAUUGGAGACUGAGCACCAACAACAACUAGCAUAAUGUAGAGGGCUGCGGGUCCUGACCGAUCAUUGCGGCACGGUCAGCAUCUUUAACGCUGCGGGUCCCAUAGAUGAUUUAGAAAUGGUCAUCUUUCUGCUUUGUACGCGUUAGCCUAGUACUACAUGUAUUGGACCGUGGUUGGGACCUCUAAUUAAAUGCAAGACUCAUGAUUACCCUACAUUAACAAACGUGAUAUUACACUACAACUUACCUCUAAACUGUCCUGAUUAAGUUUGGCUGUGCACAGACAUUUUAAAGCAUUUUCCUCUGCUUCAUUCGUUAUUUUUCAGGACACUCGGUAGGGUUAGUUUGAAGCCUUGCUGGCAUGGUAGAGUAGUUCCUGACCUAAAAAUAGAUUGGUUUAUAUUUUGGUUGUACCUUAAGGUUGCUGGUACUUUAAUUGGGGAGGACUGACUGUGGUAAUGGUUGGAGUGAAAUGGUAUCAAAUCCAUUAAACACAUAGUUUCCAUGUGUUCAAUGCCAUUCCAAUGGUUCCGUUCCAGCCAUUAUUUUGAGCCGUCCUCCCCUAAGCAGCCUCCGCUGGUGAAAUAGUGUGUUUAGAGGUCAGAAUGGGAGUCCAAAUAGUCCUGCAUAACAGGAGAAAUAUCUUGGUUUCUGCAAAGCGUGUCAGUGAGUGGGUCCUAGUCUAGUUUGAGGUGGAAGAAGCAUGCCUUAUUUAAUGUAUUUGUUUUAAAUCAACUUAAAUUUCCAUGUUUCAAUCCAUUGUAUUGCUUCCCGAAGGAAAUCCAGCUUGAAGCUGUUCUCUUGUCUGAGAGCCCUCCAUGGAUUUCUAUCCCAGCAAGAUCUAGAAGGAAAAAGCAUGUGUUGGUCUGAUAGUGAUUUCUAUGUGCAAGGUUUUAAACUGUGUAAUACACCCUGUACUGAUUGCAUUUACAUUUGAUUGAACAUACCUUGACUUCAGAAUGUCAAACAGCUUGUUCAUUUUUUUCAGUAACUGGGCUGUGCAUUCCACCUCCGUAGGCAGUUAGCCUAGCUGCAUCAUAGUUUGCAUCCCUUGAGUAAGUAAAGUAUUCAUUAGUACUACUACAUCAUGUUUUAUGAUUUAGCUUCUUUUCAUGCCAACAUUUAUUAAUAUUUGUAUAGUUAUGUGGCGCAGCGGUCAUUACAUCUCAGUGUAAUAGUUGUCACUACAGUCCCAGUGAAUCACAUCCAGCCGUGAUUGGAAGUCCCAAAAGGCGGCGUGCACAAUUGGCCCAGCAUCGUCCGGGUUUGGCUGGGGUAGGCCGUCAUUGUAAAUAAGAAUUUAUUCUUAACUGACUUGCCUAGUUUUAUUUAUAUAUAUAUAUAUUUUUUUUAUGUACAGUAUUUUCAAGCAAUAACAGGUUAGUGUAGUGUCUUCAUUGUAAAAAGUGUAUGAAUUUGUAAAUUAUUGUAGAUAUUUAUGUUGCUGUACUUCUUUACCUGUAGAGGCCGAUCAUUGCGGCGCAGACCAGCUGGCUGGUGUGUUUACGGACAUAUUCAAUCAAUCCCUAUCACAGUCUGUUGUUCCCACAUGCUUCAAGAGGGCCACCAUUGUUCCUGUUCCCAAGAAAGCUAAGGUAACUGAGCUAAACGACUACCGCCCCGUAGCACUCACUUCCGUCAUCAUGAAGUGCUUUGAGAGACUAGUCAAGGACCAUAUCACCUCCACCCUACCUGACACCCUAGACCCACUCCAAUUUGCUUACCGCCCAAAUAGGUCCACAGACAAUGCAAUCUCAACCACAC
ensembl:lncRNA